UACGAAGGGUGCAAGCGUUACUCGGAAUUACUGGGCGUAAAGGGUGCGUAGGCGGUUUGUUAAGUCUGCUGUGAAAUCCCCGGGCUCAACCUGGGAAUGGCAGUGGAUACUGGCAAGCUAGAGUGCGGUAGAGGGUAGUGGAAUUCCCGGUGUAGCAGUGAAAUGCGUAGAGAUCGGAAAGAACACCAACGGCGAAAGCACUCUGCUGGGCCGACACUGACACUGAGAGACGAAAGCUAGGGGAGCGAAUGGG
rnacentral:rRNA from 1 species